UAAUACAUGCAAGUCGAGCGGACAGAUGGGAGCUUGCUCCCUGAUGUUAGCGGCGGACGGGUGAGUAACACGUGGGUAACCUGCCUGUAAGACUGGGAUAACUCCGGGAAACCGGGGCUAAUACCGGAUGCUUGUUUGAACCGCAUGGUUCAAACAUAAAAGGUGGCUUCGGCUACCACUUACAGAUGGACCCGCGGCGCAUUAGCUAGUUGGUGAGGUAACGGCUCACCAAGGCAACGAUGCGUAGCCGACCUGAGAGGGUGAUCGGCCACACUGGGACUGAGACACGGCCCAGACUCCUACGGGAGGCAGCAGUAGGGAAUCUUCCGCAAUGGACGAAAGUCUGACGGAGCAACGCCGCGUGAGUGAUGAAGGUUUUCGGAUCGUAAAGCUCUGUUGUUAGGGAAGAACAAGUACCGUUCGAAUAGGGCGGUACCUUGACGGUACCUAACCAGAAAGCCACGGCUAACUACGUGCCAGCAGCCGCGGUAAUACGUAGGUGGCAAGCGUUGUCCGGAAUUAUUGGGCGUAAAGGGCUCGCAGGCGGUUUCUUAAGUCUGAUGUGAAAGCCCCCGGCUCAACCGGGGAGGGUCAUUGGAAACUGGGGAACUUGAGUGCAGAAGAGGAGAGUGGAAUUCCACGUGUAGCGGUGAAAUGCGUAGAGAUGUGGAGGAACACCAGUGGCGAAGGCGACUCUCUGGUCUGUAACUGACGCUGAGGAGCGAAAGCGUGGGGAGCGAACAGGAUUAGAUACCCUGGUAGUCCACGCCGUAAACGAUGAGUGCUAAGUGUUAGGGGGUUUCCGCCCCUUAGUGCUGCAGCUAACGCAUUAAGCACUCCGCCUGGGGAGUACGGUCGCAAGACUGAAACUCAAAGGAAUUGACGGGGGCCCGCACAAGCGGUGGAGCAUGUGGUUUAAUUCGAAGCAACGCGAAGAACCUUACCAGGUCUUGACAUCCUCUGACAAUCCUAGAGAUAGGACGUCCCCUUCGGGGGCAGAGUGACAGGUGGUGCAUGGUUGUCGUCAGCUCGUGUCGUGAGAUGUUGGGUUAAGUCCCGCAACGAGCGCAACCCUUGAUCUUAGUUGCCAGCAUUCAGUUGGGCACUCUAAGGUGACUGCCGGUGACAAACCGGAGGAAGGUGGGGAUGACGUCAAAUCAUCAUGCCCCUUAUGACCUGGGCUACACACGUGCUACAAUGGACAGAACAAAGGGCAGCGAAACCGCGAGGUUAAGCCAAUCCCACAAAUCUGUUCUCAGUUCGGAUCGCAGUCUGCAACUCGACUGCGUGAAGCUGGAAUCGCUAGUAAUCGCGGAUCAGCAUGCCGCGGUGAAUACGUUCCAGGGCCUUGUACACACCGCCCGUCACACCACGAGAGUUUGUAACACCCGAAGUCGGUGAGGUAACCUUUUAGGAGCCAGCCGCCG
rnacentral:rRNA from 1 species